GUGUCCUGCGCCCGCUGCACGUAGAAACGGGCAUGCCAGAUCGU
rnacentral:sRNA from 1 species